GUUAACACUGAGAAGUUUUCCUUUGCUUUCAAGAGAGACCAACUGGAGAAAUGGCUUUUUGCGCAGAUUCCUGAGAAGGCAGGGGAAGGGGGAACACUGUUUGUCACCGCUAUGUGGGAAUUGAAAUCCAGGUUUCUUACUUGGCCACUACUGACAUCUGCUCCUCAUUACUGCAGUCUUUCAAUUUCUGAUGCCCUGCAUUUUUUCCAGAGAGGUGGGCAAAUGUCACAUAAAGCACCAGAACUGUGCACCCUGUUGGUCAUAUAAACUCAUUGACGUCAGCAGCUCAAAUAAGAUGCACUGACAGGAGCUGGGACCAAAUUCAUCCAAUUUGUCUCAUGCAGCACUUGAUUAGAGCUACUACCAACAGAAUGUUGAUCAGCAAGAUGAUGCCACUCUGCAGUAUUGGCCUUAGCUAUGUAUCCCAGCAUCCCUGUAUCCUGAAUAAGUCCCAGAGGGCAUUAGAUGGUCUUAUUUCAGGUAAAAUCAUUUAGGUUUCUUUCCUAUGAUGUGGUGGAUUGUUCUAGCUGACUGGUAGCAUUCAUCCAAGCAUGGGACGUAGGUGACUAUACACACCCUUCUCUAUUCAGCCAGGAUGCAGUGUAAGGCAAGUCUGUUAUCCACUGCGAUCCAUGAAAGGGAGUUUAGAUUGAACUGCUGAUCUUCCCCGGUUUGUGCUGUCUCACGGGCUGUAGUAACUAAGUUGAAGGAUGGGUUUCUGAUUAUUGUCUCUCUAGGCUUCCGAGCCAGGAAGCAGUAGUCACACCACUGUAUGGAAUUGGGAGUCAGAGUAUUCCUGGUAGAAUAGCCCUCUUUACCCUGUGUCCCCACAAGGGGAUUGUAGACCAAGGGGCAGUGUCAGUCCCAAUAGUUACAGAGGGAAACAAAUGGGCAAAAGAGAAACCUCUGUCCCCAGUGGCAGAUAUUCAGUGGCCCACUCUCCUUCACAUGCAAACAUAUAACUCAAAUGGCACAGGUCACUCCAGUUCAGGAUUUGUCAUUAAACUUACUUGGAUCACAUUAUGUGGGUUUGGUUAAGACUUGUGGCAGUGUCACCAGGUAGUCACAGACUUGAUUGCCAUACAUGGCACAACCCCAGGUUGCUUGGGCCUCAAGAGACAUGAAUUUUUAUCAGUCAUAUUGAAAUGCAGUUGUGAAGUCUAUGUGUUUGUCAUAUAGAGUGAGUGAGGUCCACGUUGGGAGCUGUUGACAAUAGCGUCAAGCACAGCAAAAUAGUUCAUAGAUAAACAUGUCCACAUGAGUUUUCCUAUUCGCAUAGCAUGUGGACAAGGACAAUAAAUCCAGCACUGAGGUAGAUUACUAGCAUAGCUGCUUCUUGACUCAGGGAGACCAUGUUAUUGUUUUGCCAAGCUGUGGGGCCAGAUCUGGGGGAUAAGGGACACAAUAACUGUUCCUCCAUCCCAAUACUUCUCAGGGUCUAAGGUCUUCCUUCCUUAGGUGCCAGAGUUGUUUUUCUCCCUUCUCAGUCAUGUAGCUUGUCUGGAUCUAAUAGCUACUACUUCUCCCCUUGCUCAGCCCAGUGGGUCAGGUGUCAUGGGGGCUGGGAUACAAUGAUAGGACUUGUAAUGACCCAAGUGGGCCGCUGUGGGGGUUCUGUAGGGUUCACAAUCUCUAUUGGCUGCUCAAUAUAGUCAUAGUUUGUGAUCUGUCCUACCCAAUAACUGAAAUUAGUUGUAAUUCAAGCAACAGGUUGGAGGUUCCCAUGCCUUAUUGUCUAAUUGCCACCCUAAGAUAAACCUAGUUGGCCUCCCAGACACUAGAGUCAAUGGGGAAAUAAAAGGGAAGGGGUAGGGUACUGUCAGAUUGUAAGAAUCACAGAUGUAGAGAGCUAGUCUUUCCAUUCCACUCCCUGCCUCCCCUUCUAUCCUGAUUUUCUCCACCCAGUAAUUCCAAAGGGCAUAUUCCCUUGUUGGGAACAGCUGCAUUUAAUGCCCGUACUGUCUAAGAUGUUAGUUCACAAUGUUGACAACAUAUUCUGUCCAGUAGUCUAUUUUUUUAUUCAAGUAUUUAAAUGUCUAUUCUACCUCUAGAUGAUGUCAACAACCUCAGGAUGAUAAGAGUCUAAAAUGUCUAUUGAAUACCAUGUCCAUUUGCCUACGUUACGUACCUUUUGCUGCCUGUAGGGUGCCACUGUCUUAUUGUGAAUAUGCUGGAUAUCCAAAAUCAUGGUAUAGUUUAUUCUCCAAUGCUACUAUUGUGCAGCCAUAGAUGGAAUAAUUGUCAAUGGCCAUUAGACACCAGUGGUAGCAAUGAGAUAGCAGCAGAGGAUUGAUGAUUCUAUUUGCCAGGAGUGGGCAUGGGUCUUGAACUAUGUACCCUUACUAGGGUAUAAGACUUCCGAGUCCCUUCAGGACAGAGAGACCUUGGACCUAUUCCUAGUCCCUCUUCUCUUUAAAGGCUGCCAAAUCAGAAUAUAGGAGUGCAGGGUUAGGCAGCAGGGGUCCUAAAAAGGAAUAAUUGGUUCAAGGAAACCGCUGCACUUGUUACUUCCUCCAGUGUAGCGAUAUUGACUUCCGUGGAGGAAUCUCAUUGACUUUCCAUUUCACUGGUCUUGAGGAAGUCUUCACGAGUGGCCUAUAAUAUAAUCAUUCUCUCACUGCAAAAAUGCACUAGCUGUGUCUCUUACAGAUCCUCAGUCCAUUAACCAAGGUGGCCCCGGAUUUCCUUCCCCUUCUUCACAGCAUACCUGGGUACUUUGUGCUUGGGCAUGCCACAUCCCAGGGCUGGUUCUAGUUGUGGGUUAAAACACUGCAGCUGAACUUUCCUCCCUGGCAGGGGCCCAAGGUGCUUUCCUGGUCCUCUGUUCUGCAGGAGAGUGAGAACCCCACAGCACUGAUUGGGCACCUUGUCUCCAUUCUACCUCUUAGCACUCAGCCUCUAUUCAUUGACUUGACUCCUGUUCAUUAAGAGAGAAAAAAGUGAGGGAUCAUUUUUUCUCCCCACACUCUGGCCUAUCACUUGGAUGAGAGCAUUCGCUGUUGGCUCCCUGGGAGUUUUCUUAUAUUCCUGAAUGUGGCCUAUAAGGCUCUUGGCUUUUCUUUUCCAGAAUGUCUUUAUGUAUCUUGGCACCCAGCUUUCUGUUUAAGAAGAGUCCCAACCUCAUAGAGGAUAGUAAUGCCAUAACUCUGUAAGUACAAAUCAAGACUGUGGAUCAGAGCAAGACAGCUUAUUACUCACAGUACAGUAAACAGCAGGAGCAUCAACAUGGUUGAACCAAUUUUCUGGUCUCUAAUUCAAGGGAGCUGGUACAACCACAUUGAUGGGUCCAGACAAGGGCUAUGCAGUAGGUUGUGAUGCAAGAGGAACACAGCCGAAAUCUCAGCACCUUUUGUGAGAAGCAGCAAGCAAGUCAGUCUCCCUCCUAUGGGGAGCUCAUGAUCUCAUAGUAGUCACACUGGGGUCACCUUCACCUAUUAAUUGCCUGUGUGACUAGCUAUUGAAGAUGCUCUGGGGAUAGUCAGGCCAUGCAGUUCAGGGCACUCAGGAAGAGUGUGAAGAAGUAUGCAAGCCCA